GCUGCUCAAGAUCGGCUGAAGGAAGCAAAGCUACAUUUCUUGUUUUCUGGUUCCUAUGAACAGAAGCAGAAUUUUUUCACAACAGAAAGUGAAGCAACGAAGUUUUGAGGGUUGCUCCUCAUUUAAUGAUGUGGGAUCUUGUUAUGUUACCCAGGCUGGAGAGCAGUGGCUAUUCACAGGUGUGAUCGGCACACUAUGACCUGGAACUCCUGGCCUCAAGUGACCCUCCUGCCUCAGCCUCUCAAGCAGCUGGGACUACAGGCUCCUGACACCAUAUCCAGCUGAACCUGAUUUUAUAUUCCAGUGGCUGACAAACUAUUUAACUCCUCUGAACUACAGAUUCUACCCACCUAAUUUUUGCCAGUUUGUAUGCAAAAGAACAACUUAUCACUUUUUAUUUUCAAGCCACUUCCCUCCAGCCAUGUACAUU
rnacentral:lncRNA from 10 species